rnacentral:rRNA from 1 species
GACGGAGGGUGCAAGCGUUGUUCGGAUUGACUGGGCGUAAAGGGUGCGUAGGCGGUUUGGUAAGUCUGAUGUGAAAUCUAUGGGCUCAACUCAUAGUCUGCAUCGGAAACUGCCGGGCUUGAGUGUGGGAGAGGUGAGUGGAAUUCCUGGUGUAGCGGUGAAAUGCGUAGAUAUCAGGAGGAACACCUGUGGCGAAAGCGGCUCACUGGACCAUAACUGACGCUGAUGCACGAAAGCUAGGGGAGCAAACAGG